GACUAGCUCAGCUGGUUAGAGUGUGGUGCUGAUAACGCCAAGGUUGCAGGUUUGAUCCCCAUAUGGGGCAACU
rnacentral:tRNA from 1 species